GCGGUUGCACGUGAGUUGGGUUAGACGCCCUGGAUUUAGGUUCCAGUGCCGCAAGGCGUGGGGGUUCGAGUCCCCCCUUUCGCACCA
rnacentral:tRNA from 1 species